CACAGAUUCCUUUGGUGAUAAAGACAUCCGAUGACACACAUGCACGUACUUUAGAGCUUCUAGAGUGGAAUUCAUACUUUGGAAUGAAGUCAACACAAGUGAAACUUCUUAAGCAGGAAAAGGUAGCAUGCUUAGAUGAUAAUGAUGCCAGGCUUGCAAUUGAACCUCAAAACAAAUAUAAAAUUCAGACCAAACCUCAUGGCCAUGGAGAUGUGCACAUUCUUUAUUCUAGUGGCCUCUUAAACUCAUGGUAUGCUUUUGUACUUUUCUAUGUUAAAUGCAACAAUUUCUUAGUUCAAUUUCCUGGUAAGAUGUUAUGGCUACAUGUCAUGGCAUUCUGGUGAUCGCUUGUUGUAUGAUUUGUAGUAAUCAUUUCCUUGAAUUUUCUCUCUUAGAUAUGAGUGUUGGUUUCAAACAGGCUUUUGAUGUCUUCAUUUUUUACAUUUAUCAUGCUCCUCUUAGGCACGAUGCAGGUUUGAGAUGGGUCUUAUUUUUUAAAGUCUUGAUGUCUUGAUGUCUUGUUUUUUCAAACAGGCUUUUGAUGUCUUGAUGUCUUAUUUUUUUACAUUUACACCAAUUUCUGCUCAUUUGAAAUUUCUUGCAAGAGAUGGCAUGCAACUAUGUCUAGUUUUAGCUUCUUUGAUAUUUCCUACAAAAGAAGGCUAACAACUAUGAGUGUGAAAUGUUUUAGUAAGCCAGGGGUUCUGGGUGGUCAGAUUUUCUACGAUCACGGCCUUAAUCUUCUAAGCUUUUGGUUCAUUUGCUAUUUAGUUAGUUUGCUAGCAGGGCCAGUUUUUGUCGUUCCUAGUGAAGUAUGCAAGUUGUCUCCAUCCUUGUUGGAGCCUUUUGUGUGGUCUAUGUUCUUAUCAGCCCAAGCUUCUUCAAGUUUUGUCUCUCUUGGGUUUCUGUCGUUCAAGUUGGAUUGGAGCAUCAAUUUUAAGGUG